rnacentral:rRNA from 1 species
UACGUAGGGCGCAAGCGUUGUCCGGAAUUAUUGGGCGUAAAGAGCUCGUAGGCGGCUUGUCGCGUCGGAUGUGAAAGCCCAUGGCUUAACUGUGGGUCUGCAUCCGAUACGGGCAGGCUAGAGGGUGGUAGAGGCGAGUGGAAUUCCCGGUGUAGCGGUGAAAUGCGCAGAUAUCGGGAGGAACACCAGUAGCGAAGGCGGCUCGCUGGGCCAUACCUGACGCUGAGACGCGAAAGCGUGGGGAGCAAACAGG